ACCAAACACUGGUUAUGGUGGAUUCUUAUUUACAUGGUCUCAACUUAUUUCCACAGCCCCAUCUGGAAUUCUAGAAAGAGACGGCCUCACUUGGAUCCCAUCUGGCAACACAGAGCAGCUGCUGCCAAAUAGAAAUGGAGUUGUGGCAGACUGAAGGUGCUGACAAUACAAAUCCUGAUUCUAAGUGACUUGGCCAGAUUCCUAUCUGCAGAUCACCAGGAUUUUCUGGUUUUCGUCAUCAAGACCUGCUGUCCCAAUUGCAGAACCUCGUGUCCGCUUCACAGUCAAGCUCCCUGGAGGAAGAGCAGAGGUGUGAAAGAGACAGGUGG
rnacentral:lncRNA from 2 species